rnacentral:misc_RNA from 1 species
GAUGAAGAACGCAGCGAAAUGCGAUAAGUAAUGUGAAUUGCAGAAUUCAGUGAAUCAUCGAAUCUUUGAACGCACCUUGCGCCCCUUGGUAUUCCGAGGGGCAUGCCUGUUUGAGUGUCAUUAAAUUCUCAACUUUCUAGGUUUCUUUGUAAACUCUAGUAAAGCUUGGACUUGGAGUCUGCUGGCUUUCUUGGAGAGUCAGCUUCUCUUUAAAUGAAUUAGCGAAACCUUUGUGGAUCAGCUUUGGUGUGAUAAUUAUCUACACCGUUGCUGUGAAAACAGUCUUGAAGGAUUUGCUUCUAGCUGUCUUUGGACAAACUCUUAAUUGACAAUUUGACCUCAAAUCAGGUAGGACUACCCGCUGAACUUAAGCAUAUCAAAUAAGCGGAGGA